AGCUUUGCGCAGUGGCAGUAUCGUAGCCAAUGAGGUUUAUCCGAGGCGCGAUUAUUGCUAAUUGAAAAUUAAUUAUUGAAACAAAAUCCAAAAAAAAAAAAAAGAGUUCUUCUGGGACUUCCAAUCCCUGGAAAUCCUUGGAU